rnacentral:rRNA from 1 species
ACGAACGCUGGCGGCAUGCCUCACACAUGCAAGUCGAACGAGACCUUCGGGUCUAGUGGCGCACGGGUGCGUCACGCGUGGGAACCUGCCCUUAGGUUCGGAAUAACUCCCCGAAAGGGGUGCUAAUACCGGAUAAUGUCUUCGGACCAAAGAUUUAUCGCCUUUGGAUGGGCCCGCGUUGGAUUAGCUAGUUGGUAGGGUAAAAGCCUACCAAGGCGACGAUCCAUAGCUGGUCUGAGAGGAUGAUCAGCCACACUGGGACUGAGACACGGCCCAGACUCCUACGGGAGGCAGCAGUGGGGAAUAUUGGACAAUGGGCGAAAGCCUGAUCCAGCAAUGCCGCGUGAGUGAUGAAGGCCUUAGGGUUGUAAAGCUCUUUUACCCGGGAUGAUAAUGACAGUACCGGGAGAAUAAGCUCCGGCUAACUCCGUG